rnacentral:rRNA from 1 species
AUGAACGCUGGCGGCGUGCCUAAUACCUGCAAGUCGAGCGAACGGAUGAGGAGCUUGCUCCUCUGACGUUAGCGGCGGACGGGUGAGUAACACGUGGAUAACCUACCUAUAAGACUGGGAUAACUUCGGGAAACCGGAGCUAAUACCGGAUAAUAUAUUGAACCGCAUGGUUCAAUAGUGAAAGACGGUUUUGCUGUCACUUAUAGAUGGAUCCGCGCCGCAUUAGCUAGUUGGUAAGGUAACGGCUUACCAAGGCAACGAUGCGUAGCCGACCUGAGAGGGUGAUCGGCCACACUGGAACUGAGACACGGUCCAGACUCCUACGGGAGGCAGCAGUAGGGAAUCUUCCGCAAUGGGCGAAAGCCUGACGGAGCAACGCCGCGUGAGUGAUGAAGGUCUUCGGAUCGUAAAACUCUGUUAUUAGGGAAGAACAAAUGUGUAAGUAACUAUGCACGUCUUGACGGUACCUAAUCAGAAAGCCACGGCUAACUACGUG